GCUGAGGUGAAAGGAGCUGGAGGAGAGGAAGCAUUGCUGAAUCCUGAGACAUUACCCUCAGAGCCCCACUGUAGAAAACUAGCUAGAAGUGAGCUUUCUGAGUGGUCCUGCUGGUUAAACUGCAUCCAGCACCUGUUCUUGGCACACAGACAAGAGAAAUUCAAUUUGUGAAGGUGUGAACCAAGCUCCAUGUAUCAGCCUGACAAGUGUCUAAAAAGAGCAAAUUACAAAUAAAUGUCCUAGUAGACCAAGCCUUGAAACAUUCAGACCCAGGGACAUCAGUUUGAUACAUAGCCUUAUAUCCUUAGACAGCCUUUGAGCUGAGAUAGCCCCUUUGACAGGGCAAGAAGGAAGACCCAGGUCCCUCCUGUCAGCCAGGAAUGUCGAUCCAGCCACCUGUAGCUCAGGGGCACCCAAAGGUGUAAGUUUCGAAUGGCAACCUAAUGAUGAAGAUUUGAUCCCAGAACAAUGGGAGAACCUGACUGAGACCAGCACGAGAACCGAUAGCCUUCUCCAAUGGGGACAAGGCAAAUCUUGACGACUAAAGCAGUGGCCCUAAUUCAAGCUCCAGAAUGAACAGCUUUACAGGGUAAUGUGAGACCCCCAAACUCAAGACACAGUGAGACAGUUCCUGGUCCCCAAAAAGUUCCACCAAAGAGUUCCCCACCUAGUGCACUGGUGUGGUUGGGAAGAGAAAAGGCACCAGAGAGGGUGGCCCUCAGGUUCUUCUGGCCAGGGAUACACAAAGAGGUCCUUUUCCGCAGGAAGGAAGGCCCAGGAGGGCCUACUGAUAACACCACACUCACCAGAGCCAGAGCUGGGACCAGCUGUGAUGUCUCCAGACCCAGCUGGAGUUCUGCCCGAUGCAGCGAGGACAAAUGCUACAACAAAUCCAAGCAUUGCCCACCGUGUUCUCAGCCCUCCCGGGGAAGAUUCUCCUAACCCACCACUACAUCGUGAUGACAGCAGGGCAGAGUGUGCACGAGAGUCAUCAACCCCUGCUGCAGAAGAUGUGGGAAGUGAUCUGCGAAGAACUAAAAGCUAUGCUAACGCUGAGAGUCAUCAAGGAGUCACGCAGUGAAUGGAAAAGUCCGAUCACACUGGUAGCAAAAGCGGAUCACUCAAUGUGGUUCUGCAUAGACUUUUGGAAAGUCAAUGUGAUAUCAAGGUUUGAUGCAUAUCAAAUGCCCUGGGUGGAUAAGCAGCUAGAGAGACUGCAGAACGCCAACUACAUCUCCACUUUGGACUUAACCAAAUGUACUGGCAGAUUCCCCCUUAUGGUGGACACCAGGGAAAAGAUGGCCUUCCCUACUGCCAUUGGUCUAUACCAAUGUGGGACUAUUCUAUUUAGCUUCCAUGGAUCAGCAGCCACCUUUCAGUGGCUGAUGGACUGGGUGCUGCAGUCCCACAAUCAGCACGAAGCUGCCUAUAUUGAUGACAGUCAUAUAUAGCUGCAACUGGGAAGAGCUCCUGCAGCAUGCCACCACAGUUGUUCAGGCCUUCAAAAAGGGCUAACGGAAUCCUGCUGAAUGCCACCUCAGAGGUAGGCGACAUGCCUUGGAUACACUGUAUGGCAGUGUCAAUUGCACCCCCAGUGCACAAGGUCCAAGCGUUGGCAGAUUGCUCAAUACCAUCAACCAAAAAGCAGGUCUGGCACUUGGCCAGCUAUUACAGGAGGUUUCUACCUGACUUCACCUACUUUGUAGCUGCUCCACCCUUACCAACCUGGUCAAAGGCACCAGCCCCAAAGUGCAAUGGAUGAAGGCCUGCGACCAGGCCUUUGGGAUCCUAAAGAGCUGGAUAAUCCAGGGACCAGUUCUCUUCCACUCUGACUUCAC